AUUGAACGCUGGCGGCAUGCCUUACACAUGCAAGUCGAACGGCAGCACGGACUUCGGUCUGGUGGCGAGUGGCGAACGGGUGAGUAAUGUAUCGGAACGUACCUUUCAGUGGGGGAUAACGUAGCGAAAGUUACGCUAAUACCGCAUAUUCUGUGAGCAGGAAAGCAGGGGAUCGCAAGACCUUGCGCUGAUUGAGCGGCCGAUAUCAGAUUAGCUAGUUGGUGGGGUAAAGGCCUACCAAGGCUACGAUCUGUAGCGGGUCUGAGAGGAUGAUCCGCCACACUGGAACUGAGACACGGUCCAGACUCCUACGGGAGGCAGCAGUGGGGAAUUUUGGACAAUGGGGGCGAACCCUGAUCCAGCCAUGCCGCGUGAGUGAAGAAGGCCUUCGGUGGUUAAGACGUCUUUCUAGCCGG
rnacentral:rRNA from 1 species